rnacentral:rRNA from 1 species
GACACGCUGGCGGCGUGCCUAACACAUGCAAGUCGAACGGGGGUAUUUAUUUCGAUGAAUACCUUAGUGGCGAACGGGUGAGUAACGCGUGAGCAACCUAUCCUUAAGAGGGGGAUAACAUCUGGAAACAGAUGCUAAUACCGCAUAAGACCACACUGCCGCAUGGCAGAGGGGUCAAAGGAGCAAUCCGUUUAAGGAGGGGCUCGCGUCCCAUUAGAUAGUUGGUGAGGUAACAGCUCACCAAGUCAGCGAUGGGUAGCCGAGCUGAGAGGCUGAUCGGCCACACUGGAACUGAGACACGGUCCAGACUCCUACGGGAGGCAGCAGUGGGGAAUAUUGGGCAAUGGGGGGAACCCUGACCCAGCAACGCCGCGUGAGGGAAGAAGGCCUUCGGGUUGUAAACCUCUGUCAUUAGGGAAGAAGAAAGUGACGGUACCUAAUGAGGAAGCCCCGGCUAACUACGUG